UCUCCCCCCUUCCUCUCCUCCUCCUCCUCCUUUUCUCUUCUCUUCCUCCUUCUCCUUUUCUUUCUUCUCCUUCUUCUCCUCCUCCUUCUCUUCCUUCUCAUUCCCCUUCUUUUCCUUCGUUUCCUCCUUCCCUCCGCCUCCUCUCAAAUUUAGUUUUCCACGGAAUUCCCCUGUCCUUUGGAAAUUUUUUUUUUGCUUAGUAUCUGUUCAUUUCUCCCAGAAUCAUAGUUUGGAAUUAAUGGACAAAUAGUAGUUAAUCAGAUGACAGAGAUUAAAGUGAAGGGUGGUCAUACACUGGAAUAGCAAAAUAUAUUUGCAGUGAAACCCAAUGAAUAGAAUACUUCAUGUUAGGGUCAAGUAUUGGAGGAAAAACAAAUACUUUCAUUAAAAUCAAAGCUACUCUUCAGAAUUUCAUUAUUUUCUUUUAAUGGGAAAUGUAUGUGCUGGUCGUCUUGUCGUCUUUGACUCUUAAAAUGUAACCAAGCAAAUUUUAAACUAUAUCUCUAAAGUGCCUAAGUGUGAUGCCUACGUUGCCUUUAACUUAACUUCGUUAGUGGCAGAGGUUCCAUGAGUUAUGAGUACUCUGCUCUGUGAAUGCCUCCAUUUUUGAGGUGCCUUUGUGGAGUAUUGAUAGGAAUCAUUCCUGGGCUCCACUUACAGACUUCUUUUGGGGAACAGGAUCUCACAAAGCAGAACAGGAGUUUGUGAUAAGGAAGAGGACAAAGAGAGCAGGUCCUUGUGUUCUUGUGUUCUUCAAAAACGGUGAACAUAUCCUACUGAUUUUGGACCAAGGGAGUUCUCCAGUGGGAAGUGACACAGAACCUACCACAGUGCCUUUCCCCAGGUUUUUGGUAAUGAGUGAUGAAUGAAUCCUAUGAGAGCAGAGCCCCGUGGAGCGGGUGGCAAAUGUUGCUCCCUGACUACAGUUCUCUGCUUAGGGAUGCUAACACAGACUGCCUCAGAUGCAGGCAGGGCUGCUUGUCCACACUGAUCAGGCAACAGAAUAGGUGCUGGAAGAGGCAUCCACUACAGUGUGGGCAGACUCUUUGGAUCUGUAUUAAUAACAGCCUCUCCCAUGGAUUAGCUAGUCCAGGCUUUGGUGCUUUAUUUCCUCCCAAAAUAAUGGAGUGUGUACUCCUUAGUUAUGUGUAGCACCAAGAAAAUUAAUCCAGAUGUCAUCUUUUUUUUUUUUUUUCUUCCCCUCCAGUGUGGCUGGAUACUUGGCAGGGCACACAAUCACAUGGUCUUCAGAUCUUCUAAAAGCUGAUUUUCCUGGGCCUAAUCCCAUGAGAGUUGGAGACUGUCUAUGAUAAUUACUGAUUCAGCUCCUGCUGGUGUUGAACUUACUGAGAAACUUAACCAAGAAUUAAAAUACACACCCACACACCCCUCAGAUGGAGCCAAACACUAAACCAGAUUAGUCUUUCAUGGCCACCUUUUCUUUAGGAUUAGGAGGAUCAGAAAGCAAGAGCAGAUUCUGAAACACUGCAACCCCGUUCCCCACUGGGUCAUAAGAGGCUGAUGCUCUUGAGGACGAAGGUCGGCAGCAGGUGCCAACUAGGUACUGGCUUGUGGUCCCAGUAGAGCUGGCCUGCCACGGUCCAAGCGUCUUGUUUUGGUUAAAAAAUGGGUCUCUUGGCCUUUCAUGCCUGGGCAUUCUCCGGAACUCAGAUGUUUGUGAACCAGGUUCAAGGACUCUGAAGUUCAAGUCACUGGCAGAUUGGAGAAAAGAUCUAGAAGUUCUAAGUGUCUGAGGUAAUGAGAGGAGGGACGCAAAGCCUCAUUCAAUGAGACUGCAAAGUCACCUGAAUGGGAAAGCUUGCCCUAUUGCUGGCCUCGGCAAUGGCACCUUCAGGUUGUCCCCUGUACGGGUUGAUGAGGGAGUGGAGGACCCCAGAUCCCUUCUUAGUGUCAGCCUUGGCCACAGGUUUCGAUGAAAUUUAGUAUGUUGAUUAGGAGCUGCCAAUAUCAGAGCAACUCCCCUCCCAAGGGGACGUUUAGUUUUCAGUUGUUAAAAAUACACCCUGAGACAGAAAUUUUGGGACACUUAAGUGACUUUGAAAUCCAUCCAAAGGUUACUCUGUUCCUUCACUCCACACAGCUCAGGCAUUUCCAUGUUGGUCUCAGCUGCCAUGUCAAUGGUUUAUUCUUUUUACAUGUUGGAGCAGAUCUGGACCUCCCAAAAUGUUUUGGGGAGAAGUAGGCUUAGAGGGAUUUUCCCUGCUCUGUGAGAGAAGGAAUUUAGCAAGCCUUAUUUUUUCUAAGAAGGUGGCACAAGUUUUGAUGUGAUUUGCUGGAAAAUAGUAAUAGUCACAAUUUAUCUUAUUCCCCCAAGAGAAUGGGAUGAUGUUCCCAUGGAAUCUUGCUCAUCCUGCUAGCAAUAACUUGUAUUCUCUUUCUGUUUCACACAAACAAGGAUCAGAGGGUGAUGGUGGGGGAAAUGAUACCAGGAAAUACCGUUCGUUUUUUGCAGGGAUUCAGAAUGUGUUGCUGGACUUCAAGAUAGGAAGAAUCUUUGCCUUGAUGGCUGAUGAUAGUAACCACCCCACCUACCACCAUCUAUUAAGAAUUUACUGUGUGGUCACUUUACAGUCAUCCAAGUAAAUUUUCGUAAUCACCUGAUUACACGGGUACUGCUUUUCAGAAAAAGAAACAGAUUUCUGGAGCUGACAGAGGAGAGCUGCUGCCUCACUUCAGCAAUGGAAAAUGUUGCUGUAAAUCCCAUCGGACCAGCCAGUUUCUCACGACCCUUUAAAACUGAAAACUGGUCAGUAUAGUUUUACAUUCUUUUUCUUUUCCUUAAAACUGUGCCCUUUCAGAAGGCAACUUUCAAAACAUACAGGAGGGUGCCUCUGCUGUGUGUUCAUCCUGUAACACAUCGUCAAAGGCAGAGCUCCUGAAGCACCUUCUCUGGUCAGCCGUGGCGGGCGAGCAGACGCCUGGGCUCGGCCUCCCAAAGCACAAAGGUGGACCCAGAACCCACUGUCCUUGGUGCAGGAGUUAAAAAAGUAACAACAAAUCAUGAGGUGACAUCAAGCACACUGAAGAGAUGGAUGAUUUGGUGUCUUACAUUUCCUGGUCCCUCCAAAAUGUCUAAUAUAGACAGCUUUGUGACAAAGUCUUUGAAAAAAUUAUAAUUGGCCACACAGCAUGACUUUUCUUUUUAUACAUGAUCACAAAAAUAGUGUGAUUUAGAUUCUGCCUUAGGCUGAGUUCUGAGGGGUACAUUUACCUGUCAGUUUGGGGAUUUUAGUGCAGAUUUUUUUUUUUUUUUUAAAUUAAACUCUGGUAAGUACUCAGGAGGCUGAGAACACAGGCCCCUUCUCUCCCCUGAUCCUCUGUAUGCAGGCUGACUUAAGCCCCUUUAUGUUUGGCUAGUGCCACAACAAAACAGCCCCAAACAGGUUGCCAUGAGCAUGCUGGCCUGGCUUGGUGUUUGAUGAUAAAAUCUGAGACUGGUAAGUGCAGUCAGUGUUCAGGAAAGAAUCUCCAGGCUCUUCUCCCAUCACCUGGUUUUAAAAUCAGCAUUCAUACAGCUGCUUACCAUCUCUCUGUCCUCUGCAGAUGACCCGGUCCUAGGCAGGGACCAAAAUUCCUUGUCAGCUGAGGAAGUCCUGAAGAAACACCCUGAAGAUGAUGACUGCACUGCCAUCGUGGGCAGAUGCAGCUUCCAUCUACCUGAGGGCUGAAGGGGAAAACCUUUCACACACGUGAGGAAGGCGCAGCUCUGUGGAAAGGUCACUAGAAUGGCAGCGGCAGCAAAUAGGGCUCCAAUGCACGUUCGCACUUAACUGGGUCCAAGGAGAGCAUGGCCCUCCACAGCAAGUUUGCUCUAUAGAAUAAAGUCCUGAGCUUGUUUUCAUCACA